AGAUGAAUACACUUGCGUGGGACGUUACAGACUGCUAAACAGGUCCUUAGGGGCCCACUUUUCCUGCCUCCGCUUGAAAAAGGCCUCUCCUUUUCCCUCCCUGUCACGACCACAGUCCCCCUACAACAGAACGGAGAACCAUGAAAAGACCUUGUGAAAAAAGGAAGCUCAUCAUCCACAUCAGAAAUUCUAAAACUCCCGCCUCCUGCUCACUUCAAUUUCCAUGCCAUUGGGCUGCACCACCCCUUGACAUUCUUAAAUCUCCCACCCUUGGUGUCCAGAGGACAGACGUCCACCUCACAGCAGAUAUCCAGUCAUUUCUGGCCACCUCGUUCUCUGCCCAAUGCAACCAGGCAGACUGCAUUUCUUGGUGCUGGAGUGCAAC
rnacentral:lncRNA from 1 species